CAUACUUGCAAUGUUUCUUUUUUUUUUGAACACUUUUUCCAAGUUUGGCAACUAUGAUCUUCCAAAUGCAAUUCUAAACAUUUCCAAAGUAAUAGAACAAAUGUUCAUGUCACUAUGCAGACCUUAGAAGUCUAUCAAUCUAAAGUUACUGGAGUAACCUCUGUACCAAAAUUGUGACCUACAAACACUGAUCAUGCAACAGGGAAGAGCUUGUUCAAUCAUUAGCAUACAAUGGUGCUUCUAUGUAAAUAAAACAGGAGAAGUAAUGUCCAAUCUACAGUGUAUAAAAGCACAAGUCAACAUUCUACAUCAAAUAAAUGAGGCACAAUCAUUUAAUUGCACUGAUCUGUUUCAGGAGUGGGAGACUAUCUCUGUGGAACAUGGAACUAUGUGUUCCCUUCAUUCUUUUCUGCUUAUUCAACCUUGUUCUAAUCUGUUCUUGUCUUUCAUAGAUCACUUAACUCCCCAUCUUUAACCCGACUCCUCUCUCCACAGCAAUGGAGCCAUCUCCUUGUCUAUGAAACUUCAUGUCCAUUUUCAGAUGGGACAGUGAAGGGCCUAACAACACUUGGGAAUGGCAGAACAACUACUUAGUCCAUCUGAACAAACAGCAGCUGCAGGGAAAAAAGCCUUAUGUAAGCUUCCCUUUGAUGUGUAUUUCAGGCCUCUCUGAAAAUUCAGCUGCUCUAGCCCCUUCCAAGGGAGCAUCCUGUGAGGAAACUGAAUGUGGGAACUUCUGGGGGAAUCUAAAUAUAUAAAUAAGCCUUACCUGACCCUUCCAUACUUUCCCUCUGAAGCCUUAACACACACACCCUAUUCUUGGUCAUACAGAAAAAUACCAUGCACAGUGCUCUCACAUGCAUGUAUACUAAUUCUCUUUCUUAUUAAUCUAUUAAUCAAUUUUCAGAACCCCACACUGGAACCUAAGUUAUUAGAAGAAAACUUUUCCUCCCAGCAACGCUGUCUAGAUUUUUCUGGAUAGACAAGAGAGUGUGUUCAAGUAGAUAAUGCAAUUUG
rnacentral:lncRNA from 1 species